rnacentral:rRNA from 1 species
UACGGAGGGUGCGAGCGUUGUCCGGAAUCAUUGGGCGUAAAGGGCGCGUAGGUGGCGGGACAAGCGUGCGGUGAAAGCCUGGGGCUCAACCCCGGGAGGCGGAUGGAUACUGCUGAGCUCGAGUCCGGAAGAGGCGAGUGGAAUUCCUGGUGUAGCGGUGAAAUGCGCAGAUAUCAGGAGGAACACCAAUGGCGAAGGCAGCUCGCUGGGACGGUACUGACGCUGAGACGCGAAAGCGUGGGGAGCAAACAGG